rnacentral:tmRNA from 1 species
CAAAACUAGAUUAAAAUUAACAACACUGACUAAGCAUGUAGAGUCAUAGUUCUAGCUACUUUAGGACAGGGGUUCAAUUCCCCUCACCUCCACCA